AGGGAGGGAGGGAGAGAGAGAGAGAGGCAGAAGCAGGGGAGGGAGGCGGGAGAACGAGCCCUGCCGGCAGCGCGGCCAACUUUCCUUCUGCAGCGCAGCAGAGCAGGGCGGCCUCUCAUCCCUCGGUGUGCGACCCCCGCCCCGGCUUAAUGACGAGAGCACCGGGCUGCAUCCCACGGCGUUCAGGGGUGUUCCCCGCUUUCCUAAUAAUCCUGCGUAAUAGGGUGAAACUGCUCUGUUGAAAUUACUCCUUUGGAGCUGAGUGGCACGAAAUUUGACCCAUUAUGGAUUGCUCAGGCACCCACUAUGUAGGGACCUGUGUAUAAACAUGGCUGUGAAAAUAAAGAGGACUUCAGAUUUCUACUUCCAGUCUCCUGCUUCAUCUCCCCUGGUAAGGACACAGUCCCACUGCUCCUCAGGGUGCCUGACAAGAGCCUGCAGACCUGUUAAGCCGUGGAGGCAGUGACAGGGCCUGGCCUCAGUGUUGUCUGCAUGGACAGACCAUGGAAAACCGCUGGGCACAAGAGAAGGUUCUGAACCUGAGAGAGAACAAGAGUGAGAAGCUGAUGAAAGUUACAGACAGCUCCAUGAGAGACAGUCAGAUUUCACAGGUGGGGAGGAAAAAGAUACUGGUAAAGAAAUCCUGUGGAAGGGAAAAGGUGAAGAGACAGGCCAGAAGAAUAGGACAUCAUGGCUUGUAAGUACUGGAGCCAAGGAGAAAUGGCUUGAAUACUCCUCAGUGGCCCAACAACAUUUCACUAGAUCCACUAAAAGAAUUAAUCCAUCUGGCUGAAAAAUACCUAGCUGCCAGGAAUGCUCAUUGAAUUAACUGAUUGAAUUGCGUAUAAAUUUAUAAAGAUAAAUGUAUCUUUCUUAUUG